GACGAACCGUGCGAACGUUGUUCGGAAUCACUGGGCUUAAAGGGCGCGUAGGCGGGCCAUCAAGUCCGGGGUGAAAUCCUCCGGCUUAACCGGAGAAUUGCCUUGGAUACUGGUGGUCUUGAGGGAAGUAGGGGUCUGCGGAACUUCCGGUGGAGCGGUGAAAUGUGUUGAUAUCGGAAGGAACGCCGGUGGCGAAAGCGGCGGACUGGGCUUCUUCUGACGCUGAGGCGCGAAAGCUAGGAGAGCAAACGGG
rnacentral:rRNA from 1 species